GACGAACGCUGGCGGCGUGCUUAACACAUGCAAGUCGAACGGAAAGGCCCUGCUUUUGUGGGGUGCUCGAGUGGCGAACGGGUGAGUAACACGUGAGUAACCUGCCCUUGACUUUGGGAUAACUUCAGGAAACUGGGGUUAAUACCGGACAGGAGACCCUCCUGCAGGGUGGGGGUUGGAAAGUUUCGGCGGUUGUGGAUGGACGCGCGGCUUAUCAGCUUGUUGGUGGGGUAGUGGUUUACCAAGGCUUUGACGGGUAGCCGGCCUGAGAGGGUGACCGGCGACAAUGGGACUGAGAGACGGCCCAGACUGCUACGGGAGGCAGCAGUGGGGAAUAUUGCACAAUGGGCGGAAGCCUGAUGCAGCAACGCUGCGUUCGGGAUGACGGCCUGCGGGUUGUAAACCGCUUUCGCCUGUGACGAAGCGGGAGUGACGGUAAUGGGUGAAGAAGCACCGGCUAACUACGUG
rnacentral:rRNA from 1 species